GAUGAACGCUGGCGGCGUGCCUAAUACAUGCAAGUCGAGCGAACGGACGAGAAGCUUGCUUCUCUGAUGUUAGCGGCGGACGGGUGAGUAACACGUGGAUAACCUACCUAUAAGACUGGGAUAACUUCGGGAAACCGGAGCUAAUACCGGAUAAUAUUUUAACCGGCUGGGUCCAAAGUUAAAGAACGUUCUUCCUGUAACUAUUGAUUGAUCCCGCGCUGCAUUAGCUAGUUGUUAAGGUAACGGUUUACCAAGGCAACGAUGCAUAGCCGACCUGAGAGGGUGAUCGGCCACACUGGAACUGAGACACGGUCCAGACUCCUACGGGAGGCAGCAGUAGGGAAUCUUCCGCAAUGGGCGAAAGCCUGACGGAGCAACGCCGCGUGAGUGAUGAAGGUCUUCGGAUCGUAAAACUCUGUUAUUAGGGAAGAACAUAUGUGUAAGUAACUGUGCACAUCUUGACGGUACCUAAUCAGAAAGCCACGGCUAACUACGUG
rnacentral:rRNA from 1 species